UACGUAGGGGGCAAGCGUUGUCCGGAUUUAUUGGGCGUAAAGAGCGUGUAGGCGGCCUGACAGGUCUGCUGUGAAAACUCGAGGCUCAACCUCGAGAUGUCGGCGGAAACCGUCUGGCUAGAGUUCGGAAGAGGAGAGUGGAAUUCCUGGUGUAGCGGUGAAAUGCGCAGAUAUCAGGAAGAACACCCGUGGCUAAGGCGGCUCUCUAGUACGGUACUGACGCUGAGACGCGAAAGCGUGGGGAGCGAACAGG
rnacentral:rRNA from 1 species